UACAAUCCCAGAGGCAACCAAAUCUAUGAGAGAAUUACUCCAAGUUGGGGUGAAAACUUCCUGCAUUCCAGAAGUUCGAUGGCAUUGAGAAGGUGAAUCACAAUAACUAACUCAAUGCAAGGAGUGCACACACUUCAAGUGCUUCAGAAGUGUGAGCAAAGAGCAGGCGAAGGCUAGUAACCAGCUCGAGGCAUGGAGUACAACCUCGAGGAGGCGGGCGAAGUCAAGUAACCUUUGCCUUCUCAACUCUUAAGAGAAUGGGCGAAACUGAGUACCCCAAUUCUCUUAUCUAUCCAGCAGAGGAGCUCUGCACAAGUUCAAAGACCCUUCGAAAAUAAUGGAAGACAAUAGUUAUCAAAUCCUCACCAAUGAUGAUCAGUGCUACUGAGAAUAGAUUGUCCGCUUCAUUUCCCAACGAAAUGUCAAUCGAAAGCGGAAGUGAUGCGAACCUACUUGGAUGUGACAACUAAGUGAAAGAAGAGUCAAUGAGCAAAUUUUGUGGAGGAAGGACCCAAAACUUCAGAAGUUUGCAAGACGAUGCUCGUUAAAGCUCCAACAAGCAUCCACCCUGUUCAAGCAGCAUGAGGAAUU
rnacentral:lncRNA from 1 species